rnacentral:lncRNA from 1 species
CCAGACAGCUGCUGGAAUAGAGAAGGACUUUUAAUAUUUACAGUGAAAUCUUUUAAAGGCAACAGUACAUUCUGACGCCACCUGGGAGUACAGUGUUGGAGACGUAGGGUGUUUUCCCAUAAACAAUGUGAAGGUCUUUUUGUUAAAGAGGCAAUUUUGAUAUUAACAGCAGCUACCCAUUUUGCAUUUUGAUAGCCAGACCGGCUGCUGUUUUGUUCGGGUACACACCAGGUCUCGUGCGACUGAGUUUUAUUUUUUAAUUGAAAAAAAAAAAAAAAAGAAGAAGAAGAAGAAAAGGAAAAUUACUUGAGAUGCCAAAUACUGUCGAGAGGACCAUACUGCCCCUCUUCCCCACACCCACUGGAGACGCGGACCCUUCUUUUUUACAGGCUUAGAAUCGCCGGAGCCGAGCUGGGCUCCCUCCGGAGCGCCGCACAGCGCCGUGCCCGCGCCCCCCGGACCCCGCGGCGUGGGAGAUUUCUUCCCUCCUCCCGCUGAUUUGCAAACAAACUUGUGGAAUCCGCCCCGUCCGAGGGGUACGGGGAUAAAAUCCCCCCGGGGAGCAGAGUGGGUUUGGUUUUUUUUUUAAUAUUACUGCAAGAUUUCAGCGGGCUGCCGGGGAUCUCCCCCCUCUCGCCCUCUUUUGUCGUUUCCCGGCCGGCGAGCGCAGCCCCCCCGCAGCACUGAGGCCUCAGCAGAGCCCCCCGGCCGCGGGGCGCCCGGCUCCUGCCCUUUCUUUCCCACCCCAUCCCCGCCUGUCAAGGAAAGGC